rnacentral:rRNA from 1 species
CAUGCAAGUCUACUUGAUCCUUCGGGUGAAGGUGGCGGACGGGUGAGUAACGCGUAAAGAACUUGCCUUACAGACUGGGACAACAUUUGGAAACGAAUGCUAAUACCGGAUAUUAUGACUGAGUCGCAUGAUUUGGUUAUGAAAGCUAUAUGCGCUGUGAGAGAGCUUUGCGUCCCAUUAGUUAGUUGGUGAGGUAACGGCUCACCAAGACGAUGAUGGGUAGCCGGCCUGAGAGGGUGAACGGCCACAAGGGGACUGAGACACGGCCCUUACUCCUACGGGAGGCAGCAGUGGGGAAUAUUGGACAAUGGACCAAAAGUCUGAUCCAGCAAUUCUGUGUGCACGAUGAAGUUUUUCGGAAUGUAAAGUGCUUUCAGUUGGGAAGAAGUCAGUGACGGUACCAACAGAAGAAGCGACGGCUAAAUACGUGCCAGCAGCCGCGGUAAAACGUAAUGUCGCAAGCGUUAUCCGGAAUUAUUGGGCGUAAAGCGCGUCUAGGCGGUUUAGUAAGUCUGAUGUGAAAAUGCGGGGCUCAAACCCCGUAUUGCGUUGGAAACUGUUAAACUAGAGUACUGGAGAGGUAGGCGGAACUACAAGUGUAGAGGUGAAAUUCGUAGAUAUUUGUAGGAAUGCCGAUGGGGAAGCCAGCCUACUGGACAGAUACUGACGCUAAAGCGCGAAAGCGUGGGUAGCAAACAGGAUUAGAUACCCUGGUAGUCCACGCCGUAAACGAUGAUUACUAGGUGUUGGGGGUCGAACCUCAGCGCCCAAGCUAACGCGAUAAGUAAUCCGCCUGGGGAGUACGUACGCAAGUAUGAAACUCAAAGGAAUUGACGGGAACCCGCACAAGCGGUGGAGCAUGUGGUUUAAUUCGACGCAACGCGAGGAACCUUACCAGCGUUUGACAUCCCAAGAAGUUAACAGAGAUGUUUUCGUGCCUCUUCGGAGGAACUUGGUGACAGGUGGUGCAUGGCUGUCGUCAGCUCGUGUCGUGAGAUGUUGGGUUAAGUCCCGCAACGAGCGCAACCCCUUUCGUAUGUUACCAUCAUUAAGUUGGGGACUCAUGCGAGACUGCCUGCGAUGAGCAGGAGGAAGGUGGGGAUGACGUCAAGUCAUCAUGCCCCUUAUACGCUGGGCUACACACGUGCUACAAUGGGUAGUACAGAGAGCUGCAAACCUGCGAGGGUAAGCUAAUCUCAUAAAACUAUUCUUAGUUCGGAUUGUACUCUGCAACUCGAGUACAUGAAGUUGGAAUCGCUAGUAAUCGCAAAUCAGCUAUGUUGCGGUGAAUACGUUCUCGGGUCUUGUACACACCGCCCGUCACACCACGAGAGUUGGUUGCACCUGAAGUAACAGGCCUAACCCGUAAGGAGGGA